AUUAAUAAAAGCUGGCCCACCAUGGAGUUCAUUAAAGCCUAUCCACUAGAGUUAGAUUCCUCCAGGUCCCCCAUUGCACAUUGAAUAUUGUUUCUGUCUCUCUUUUAUUCCCCAUUUUUUUCUCUCCAGGUAUUCGAAGGUCUGAAGAGCUCCCAAUACUGGGCCAUGUUCUACAUGCUGAAGACUAGAGUCAGAUGCAGGCUUUGCACCUAGGGAAUGCAAUCAGAACAGUGGCAGAUUGGCUCCUCUGCACCAGACACUGUUUCCAGCACUUGGUGUAUGAGAGAGACAGAGUUAUGUGUACACCUGGAACUUCUACUCUACUGGAGGAGAUAAAAAUCCCAACAAAUAGAUUGGAGGAUGACAUUUCCAGGCCUGUGGAAGCUGAGCAUGGGCACCGCAGGCCAGCAGACUUUUUGGGAUGGUGGCAGGUAAAGAACUGUGAUCUCUUCCCUCUCAUACGCCAAAGUCACUAUGUGGAAAUCUAUGUACCAGCCCAGAACAUAAGAAAGAGAAUUGGUAAAGAUGAAAGUGAGAGAUUUGGUAAAAUGUAUAUACAACGACCUCAGUAAUGAAACCUGUGUUGCUCUGACUUCUUUUUUUUUGUUUUUGUUAAAUUCUUUUAUUGGUACAUUGUAGGUAUACAACACAAUUACAUUUCUCAUUGGGAAUUGUACCUUUACAUGAUGCAUCUUGGUUCUUACUUUUUCCCCAUAGUCCUCCCUUCACCCCCUCCACCCUUCCCUAUUUACAAAGACUUUAAUUCCAUUUUUUCCAUUUCUCAUCAUUUUUCCUUUCCCUUCU
rnacentral:lncRNA from 1 species